rnacentral:rRNA from 1 species
UACGUAGGCGGAAGAUUAAGUCAGUGGUGAAAUCCUGCAGCUUAACUGUAGAACUGUCAUUGAUACUGGUUUUCUUGAAUUUAGUUGAGGUAGGCGGAAUGUGUAAUGUAGCGGUGAAAUGCUUAGAUAUUACACAGAACACCGAUUGCGAAGGCAGCUUACUAAGCUAUGAUUGACGCUGAGGUACGAAAGCGUGGGGAGCGAACAGGAUUAGAUACCCUGGUAGUC